rnacentral:lncRNA from 1 species
AUAAGCGCGGUGGCGUCGUCGCUGGGAGCUGGCAGGGCCUCCCGCAGGAAGGCGAAGAGAGGGUGCGCCCCCGCACCGUUCACCUCGCACUUCUCGAAGAGCAUGAAGUUGGGCUCGAACCCACCACCAGGCCGGACGUACUUGAGGGAAUUCAGAAUCUCUUCGUUCUUGGCGUUCUCCUACAGGAGAGAAGGGCAGCUAGAACCCGGGGUCAAGAGGAGGAGAGAAACGUUCUAACCACAAACAAGGGAGAUUUUCUAUGAGUCACCGGGAUUUUGCCCUCCAUGCGCAAUCCCAAGGGCGGAGAGGAAUUUCAGCAGCUACGAGCAACAGAAAGGAAACGAGAGAGUAGCCAGACUCUCCGCGCAUGGAGCCGACGGCACCCACCAGCACACCGCCGGCGCCCCCAGCCACUACUGCACGUCCGCCCCCGCCCCGCCCCGCUCCGCCCGGCGCACCUGAUGCCCAAACUGGUUGCACGGGAAGCCGAGCACCACCAGGCCCCGGGGUCCGAGGCGCCGCUGCAGCUCGUUCAUCUGGGUGUAGUCCCGGACCGUGGUGCCUCAGAGGGACGCCACAUUCUCGAUAAGUAGUACCUUGCCCCGCAGGGAGCCCAGGCUCACAGGCUCCCCGCCGGCCAGCGGGCGCGCCGAGAAGGCAUACACCGACUGGGCCGCCGCCGCCGCCGCCGCUAGCCGAGCAGCACACAUGGCGCAAUUGUCCAAGAAGCCAGCGGAGCGCCCCGAACAAGCACUGUAAGGGGAGGCCAGCAGGCGCCUCCUUUUAACUGGCCGGCGGCGGGUCACGUGGCACAGGCAGUUUUCCGGGCCUGAGGGUCCCGCCUCAUCCGGCCCCCGCCCUACCCGGAGGGCUCGGCCCCUCCUCAGCCAGGAAAAGGCUGGAGAGUGCGCCCGAGCGGGACGCGUGCUCCUCCUAAGCCGGAAGGAGCAGCAGGCAUGUCUGGUCUGGCCCAGGCAACCAGGCGGCAGCGGUCCAGGUUACCCUUCCAAGGGCUGGGGCCCUCGAGGGCUCCGUUUUUUCUCAGAGGUUCCUGAGUUAGGAUGUGGGGUUUGGCAUAGGAGGCUGGUGGGCGACGGCAGCAGCUGCAGGAGCUGCCCGUGCACAAACAGCCCUCCUCUCCUGUGCCAUGUUACCGGCAGUGCAGGGGACAGCCAGAGGGAUCUAGGCUUCCGGUCUCCCUCCUCCCUGUCUCCAAAGCGGCACCGCCCUCGUGCGGGUUUUCUAACCGGGCAGAGUCCUGGAAGCUCUGCCCCAGCCUCCUUAAGUGGAGCCCAGUAGCUCGCCGAGGCCAAGGAAACGCUGCCGGAGUCCUCCCUCCCUGGCCUCCUCAGGCUGCAUUCACCCUACCCCCAAAUCUGAACCAGAAUGCGGUACAGGGUAAUCAUUUCCAUGUUGUUGGGAGGGACCAGAUUAGCUGCUGGGUGGGUGGGAGGUGGGGCACAAGCUAGUCCUUUGCACUCAACAAACCUCUCCAGGGUGAGCUAGGCCAGGAAGUCCUUGCAUCCUCCUACCCCCAGCCCUGGAGAGAGCAACACAAACAACAGGAUACAGGAAGUUUAGAAAACUGCCUUUAUUCUAUUAGUAGUUGGAAAAAUUAACUGGUACAGAAAAAAAGUUUAGUCAGCUGGAGAGAAGAGAGACUGAGUGCCACCCAUGAGAACUGGUGGCUCCUCUGGGAGGGAACCUGGAUACAGUGAGGAGAAAAGAGCACUGUGAAUUAGAGCCAGAUGCUUAAGUCCAGGUGAGACAGGUUAUGCCAUCUUCCAAAGUGUCUAAUUGCCUCAGGCGUGAAACCAAUUCCUAUUUACUUAGCCCAGCUCCAUGGGGUACUGAGAUACAUGGGGCCGAAAAGGGGUAAUAUGGCCAUCUUUUAUCAGAAAAAGUGACAAAACGGGAAUUUAAAAAAUGAAUUUUCCAUCUGACUUUAUUUCCAAAUACACUUUCUUUUUUAAAAAACCAAUACACUUUCUUUGAGGAUGACAGUAUUAGGAAAUCCAAUUAUACAAAAAAUACUACAUCUAGUCUGGGGUAGAUAUAUUUAUUUUUGGUAACAUACAUUAAGUGGCACUAAUUACACAGUAACUAUAAGGUAACUAACAUGAAACCACAGAACUGUAACUCUGCCACAGCUGCAUGAACUUGGGCUUUUCUGGUUGAGCCCAUUUUCAAAAAACUGCCCACCCCAGAGCUAUGCCAACAAAAUCUGUUACGGAGUAAAGCCCUGAAGUGGUGACUCACCAGAGUACCUUGCAGCUGACAGAUAAUAGGCAGGACAUGUUAGUUAUAAAGUAGUUACAGCCUAAUUCACAAAAGUUACCAACUGUUUCUCUUUCUAGAAAGAAGCAAGAAGUUAAGAAAUUCCUUGAAUUAGCGCCUGGUGUGUCAGGUGGGAGUGCAGAGGAGGGCUGUUAGAGCAGUGUCAAAAGGACCCUGGUGGGCCAGACGGGUUGGACAUCGUUAAUAAUCAUAGUUGGCUUCUAAAUACUGGUAGCAAGAUGACUUCUGAUUUGUAAUCUUAGGUAAAUUAUAGAUAAAUGAAAAAGGCCAGUAAUCAUACACUAAGAUUAAUAAACAGCACUUCAAAAUUAACCGCAUAAGGGCUGUGCUUGCAGCAAGGUUUCACAAGACAAGGCACCCAGAUUUUUUCUUCCCACGUCUAGCUUGCAGAGCAGCUCUCGUAGCCAUUUCAAAAACCUCUCUCACUCCAUCUUUGGUCUUUGCUGAACACUCCAUGUACCCAAAAGCGCCAAUCCUGUUUGCCAUAUCUCUGCCUUCUUCAGGUUUCACCGGCUCCUAGCAAAGAAAAAAAAAUAGUCCUUUUAGCUAAUAGUGUGGCAUACAUAUAGUAAGUAAAAAGUAUUCAAAUUCAUCUAAAAGAUUUUUUUUUCUUUUUUUGAGACAGUUUUGCUCGUCGGUCGCCCAGGCUGGAGGGCAAUGGCAUGAUCUCAGCUGACUGCAACCUCCACCUCCUGGGUUCAAGGGAUUCUCCCGCCUCAGCCUCCCGAGUAGCUGGGACUACAGGUGCCCACCACCACGCCCAAGUAAUUUUUUAGUAGAGAUGGGGUUUCACCAUUUUGGCCAGGCUGGUCUCGAACUCCUGACCAAGUGAUCUGCCCACCUCGGCCUCCCAAAGUGCUGGGAUACAGGCAUGAGCCACUGUACCCAGCCUAAAAAAAAAAAAGACUUUCAAAAGCUGUUAAACUUGGCUGGGUGUGGUGGCUCACACCUGUAAUCCCAGCACUUUGGGAGGCUGAGCUGGGCGGAUCACGAGUUUAGGAGAUCAAGACCAUCCUGGCCAACAUGGUGAAACCCCUCUUUACUAAAAUACAAAAAAUCACCUGGGUGUGGUAGUGGGCGCCUGUAACCCCAGCUACUCAGGAGGCUGAGGCAGGGGAAUCGCUUAAAUCUGGGAGGCGGAGGUUGCAGUUGAGCCAAGAUCGUGCCACAGCACUCCAGCCUGGCGACACAGUGAGGCUCCUUCUCAAAAAAAACAAAACAAAAAAAAAAAACAACAAACUGCUAAACUUAUGAAAUUUUUAAACUGACAUAUGGUAACUACCCCCUACCAAACAUAAAAUCUCUAAUAAACAUGGUAUUCACUGGGAAGUAGAGGGAAGAGGUCAGAGGAGCCCUGGAAGGUUAAGGAGUCAAUCAAGAGCAAAAUUACUCAAGCUACCAAUCCAGGACUAAAUGCCCUGAAGGAAAUAAAGCCUACCCUUGACAUUCAGACAGAGAAACCUGAGUAAGAGAACUUAGGUUGAAGAUCUCAAUGCUUCUCCUCCAGUGAGGAAGCCCUGCCAUUAGGCCAGCUGGUUUCUGAGAGGCCAAGAUGCCACAUCCAUCAUCACUUUUAAAAAGGCAUUGGGAGUGGAGGAGAGGGAAGGCAUUAGGGCUUUCUAUCUGGACUCCCAGCCUUCAAGAUUUCCUUAUCUUUCAGUUGCCACUAAUUUAUCUUUGGCCUCACAUGUACCAAAGUAAUAGCUGGGGAAGGCAAUCAAGAGUCUAACAGGCCCGGGCGUGGUGGCUCACACCUGUAAUCCCAGCACUUUGGGAGGCCAAGGCGGGCAGAUCACCUAAGGUCAGGAGUUUGAGACCAGCCUGACCAACAUGGAGAAAACCCGUCUCUACUAAAAAUACAAAAAUUAGCCAGGCGUGGUGGCACAUGCCUGUAAUCCCAGCAACUUGGGAGGCUGAGGCAGGAGAAUCACUUAAACCUUGGAGGCUGAGGUUGCAGCCGAGAUAGCAUCACUGCAUUCCAGCCUGGGUGACAAAAGCAAAACUGUGUCUCAAAAAAUAAAAAUAAAGAGUCUAACAGAGGCCAGGCACAGUGGCUCACACCUGUAAUCCCUGCACUUUGGGAGGCAAAAGUGGGCAGAUCACUUGAGGUAAGGAGUUCAAGACCAGCCUGGCCAACAGGGUGAAACCCCAUCUAUUAAAAAAAAAAAAAAUUAGCCGGUCAUGGUGGAGGGUGCCUGUAGUCCCAGCUACUCGGGAGUCUGAGGCAGAAGAAUCGCUUGAACCCCGGAGGCGGAGGUUGCAGUGAGCUGAGAUUGCGCCACUGCACUCCAGCCUGGGUGACAGAAUGAGACUCCAUAUCAAAAAAAAGAAAGUUCCUACAUCUAGAGCCACUGAUUACUAGCUACUAAUGAAAUGGUUCAUUCUCAGGCCAGCAGUCCUUAUGGGCAUAGCACUACCUCAUAAAAAAACAUUCCAUCUCACAGGACUGGUGAACUAUCUUAGGGAUCUUCUGUGAAGAUCCCAAUUAAUGAGGGUCAGAGGGCCACAGAGGGGCUUCUGAGCCUCUAAAACAACCUGGCCUGUGAAGGUUCCUGCUGGGCUCCCCAAACCUCCAAACUUGGGGCCCUAGUUCAAGAAUACUACAAGACAGUCCUGCCCCAGAUCAUGCCUGCUUCAUCUUGGCUAGCUCCCGCCUUGUGUGCUCAUCAUUCCGAAGAUCCUUCUUAUUCCCAACCAGGAUGAUGGGCACGUUGGGACAGAAAUGCUUGACUUCUGGGGUCCACUUUUCUGGGAUGUUUUCUGAAAGAAAAAUGUAGAGAAUUUGGGGAUACAUACAAUUCUAUCUUGAAGACUUUCCAAGAACCUCAGUGAAAUUGCAGAGACACUUUCUUUGUGGCUUCAGAAAAAUGCUAGACAUUUAAUGAAACUCACUAGUUUCAAAACCAUAAAAAGGAAAUAUAAUCCCUUUCCUUUAAACAGAGAACCAACAGCUUUUUCUCAGUCCAGCCAAGAGUGGUGCUGAGCAUCUCUGUAGGUGGGGCCCGAGUAAGGGCUCUGGAGGAGCAAAAGAUCCACAACACAAGGUAGUUUCACGGGGGGCACUUCCUGCCCCACAAAGGCAGGCACUUUACAGGACAUCUGUCACUGCUGGUAGAUGAUUCUGACAUAGCUUACAGAAGGGGUCCCCAUUCUAGGGCAGCAGCUGACCCAGGGUCCACAUGUUCUUUUUCUAACUUGUUCAUCAACUCUCAGCAUAACUUCUACCCUAUGGGGUUUACUGGUAUUUCAAAUGGCUGAAGAGUGACUUUUGGCCGGGAGCGGUGGCUCAUGCCUGUAAUCCCAGCACUUUGGGAGGCCAAGGUGGGCGGAUCAUGAGGUCAGGAGAUCGAGACCAUCCUGGCUAACACAGUGAAACCCCGUCUCUACUAAAAAUACAAAAAAAAUUAGCCGGGUGUAGUGGUGGGCACCUGUAGUCCCAGCUAUUCAGGAGGCUGAGGCAGGAGAAUGGUGUGAACCCGGGAGGCAGAGCUUGCCAUGAGCUGAGAUCGCGCCACUGCACUCCUGGGCGACAGAGCAAGACUCCGUCUCAAAUAAAAAAAAGUGACUUUUGAAAAUAACCAAAAGAGGCUGGGCGUGGUGACUCAUACUUGUAAUUCCAGCACUUUUGAGAGGCUAAGGCAAGUAGACAGCUUGGGCCUAGGAGCUCAAGAACAGCCUAUGCAACAUGGCUAAACCCCAUCUCCAGACAGCGUGGUGGCUCGUGCCUGUAAUCCCAGCACUUUGGGAGGCUUAGGUGGGUGGAUCACCAGAGGUCAGGAGUUCGAGACCAGCCUGGCCAACAUGGCGAAACCUCAUCUCUACUAAAAUUACUAAAAUUAGCCGGGCGCAGUGGUGUGCACCUAUAGUCCCAGCUACUUGGGAGGCUGAGGCAGAAGAAACACUUGAACCCAGGAGGUGGAGGUUGUGAUGAGUCGAGAUCGCAAUACUACACUCACUCCAGCCUGGGCAACAGAGUGAGACUCUGUAUCAAAAAAGUCAAAAACCCCAUCUCCACAAAAACAUACAAAAACUUAGCAGUUUACAGUGGUACAUGUGCCUGCAUUCCCACCUACUUGAGAGGCUGAGGUGGGAGGAUCACUGGAGUCCAGGAUUCAAGGUAGCAGUGAGCUAUGAUCACGCUACUACUGCACUCCAGCCAGGGUGACAAAGUGAGACUUCAUCUCUUAAAAACAAAUAAAUAGGCUGGGCGCAGUGGCUCACGUCUAUAAUCCCAAAACUUUGAGAGGCUGAGGCAGGUGGAUCGCGUUAGGUCAGGAGUUCGAGACCAGUCUGGCCAACAUGGUGAAACCCCAUCUCUAUUAAAAAUACAAAAAGAUUGCCAGGCGCAGUGGUUCAUGCCUAUAAUCCCAGCACUGUGAAGGCCGGGGCGGGUGGAUCACCUCAGGUCGGGAGUUGGGAGACCAGCAUAACCAACAUGGAGAAACCCCGUCUCUACUAAAAAUACAAAAUUAGCUGGGCGUGGUGGCACAUGCCUGCAAUCCCAGCUACUUGAGAGGCUGAGGCUGGAGAAUCGCUUGAACCCGGGAGGCGGAAGUUGCAGUGAGCCGAGAUCGUGCCAUUGCACUCCAGCCUGGGCAACAAGAGCGAAACUCCGUCUCAAAAACAACAAAACAAAACAAAAAAAUUAACUGGGCAUGGUGGUGCACACCUGUAAUCCCAGCUACUAGGGAGGCUGAGGCAGGGAAAUUCCUUGAACCAGGGAGGUGGAGGUUGCAGUGAGCCAAGAUCGUGCCACUGCCCUCCAGCCUGGGCGACAGAGCGAGACUCCGUCUCAAAAUAAAUAAAUAAAUAAAUAAAUAAAAAUAAAUAGACCAGGUGCAGUGGCUCAUCAGGCCUGUAAUCUCAGCACUUUGGGAGGCCGAGGCAGGUGGAUCAGGAGUUUGAGACCAGUCUGGCCAACAUGUUGAAACCCUGUCUCUACUAAUAAUACAAAAAUUAGUCAGGCAUGGUGGUGCAUGCCUGUAAUCCCAGCUACUUGGGAGGCUGAGGCAGAAGAAGUGCUUGAACCCGGGAGGCGGAGUGCAGUGAGCUGAGAUCGCACCAUUGCACUCCAGCCUGCGUGACAAGAGCAAAAGUCUGUCUCAAAAAAACAAAAAUAAAAAUAAAUAAAACAAAACAGCAUACAACCAUGACCCACCUCUACAAAUGUUAUUUGUAAUAUUUACUGUUACUGGGUUUACUGUUGUUAUUUUCUGAUUUACUUUUUUGGGGGCAUUGAGGGGAGCCUAUUCUGUCUUCCCUCAUCUAGAACAGAAGUUUUUUUUUUUUUUUUUUAGAUGGACUCUUGCUCUGUCGCCCAGGCUGGAGCGCAGUGGCGCAAUCUCAGCUCACUACAACCUCUGCCUCCCGGGUUCAAGCAAUUCUCCUGCCUCAGCCUCCCGAGUAGCUGGGAUUACAGGCACUCGCCACCACGCCCGGAUGAUUUUUUUGUAUUUUUAGUAGAGACAGGGAUUCACCAUGUUGGACAGGCUGGUCUUGAACUCCUGACCUCAGGAUCCACCCACCUUGGCCUCCCAAAGUGGUGGGAUUACAGGUGUGAGCCACAGUGCCUGGCCUAGAAUAGAUGUUCUGUUAGUAGGUGCUGUAGUUAUUUCCUGAAUAUGUGAAAUUAUACCAAUAGUCUACCCCCUUCCUGGAGUUUGAGGUACAUAGAAUUUGAAUAAAUUGACUGUCGCCACUUUUGGUGAAUAAAUUUUCAAACUUUUUUUUUUUUUUUUUUUGAGAC